rnacentral:rRNA from 1 species
UAAGCGGAGGAAAAGAAACUAACAAGGAUUCCCCUAGUAACUGCGAGUGAAGCGGGAAAAGCUCAAAUUUAAAAUCUGGCGGUCUUUGGCCGUCCGAGUUGUAAUUUAGAGAAGCGUCUUCCGCGCCGGACCGUGCGCAAGUCUCCUGGAAUGGAGCGUCAUAGAGGGUGAGAAUCCCGUCUUUGGCACGGAUGCCUGGUGCUUCUGUGAUGCGCUCUCGAAGAGUCGAGUUGUUUGGGAAUGCAGCUCAAAAUGGGUGGUGAACUCCAUCUAAAGCUAAAUAUUGGCGAGAGACCGAUAGCGAACAAGUACCGUGAGGGAAAGAUGAAAAGCACUUUGGAAAGAGAGUGAAACAGUACGUGAAAUUGUUGAAAGGGAAACGCUUGAAGUCAGUCGCGUCGACCGAGACUCAGCCUUGCCUCGGCUUGGUGUACUUCUCGGCCCGACGGGUCAGCGUCAAUUUUGCCCCUCGGAUAAUGGCAAGGGAAAGGUGGCACCUUUACGGGUGUGUUAUAGUCUCCUGUCGCAUGCGAGGGGUGGGAUUGAGGAACUCAGCGCGCACCUUGGUGUCGGGGCUUCGGCCCACGUCACGCGCUUAGGAUGCUGGCGUAAUGGCUUUAAACGACC